rnacentral:rRNA from 1 species
CUCCCUGCGAACUCGCAAGAGGAUGUAUAGGGGGUGACACCUGACCAAUGCCAGAAGGUUAAAUACGGAUGGUGUAAUUAUCUUCGGAUAAAUAUGCUGGUUUGUAUAAGCCCUGGUGAAUGUCGGCGAUAACUAUAAUCGUCCUAAGGUUUCCAAUCUGUAUCAAUGGAUUGGGAAGGAUUGGGACGAUUACAGAUGGUAAUACAGAGAGACCACGUGCAAAAACAAGGAAAAGUAGUUGCCCAGCGUAAGCUGUCCAACUGACUAUAUGCUGAGAAAUCUGUGUAUAACAAUACUGCAGAACUCACACUACUAAGGUAUAAUAUACCCAUAGUAAUAAAGUGAUGAGUGCAGAAAAUCAGCAGGAAAGAUUCAGAAUCGAACAAUGGAUUCUUGGAUUUACAGAUGGAGAAGGGUGCUUCUCGGUUAGUUUUAUCAAAAAUAAAACUACAAAGACCGGAUGGCAAAUAUUUCCAGAAUUUGUAAUUACCCAAGGAGCCAAAAGUCUUCCCACCCUUGAAAUAAUUAAAAAUUAUUUUGGAUGCGGAAAUUUGUUUAUCAACAAAAGGAGUGAUAAUCACAGAGAACCUUUGUACAGAUAUUGUGUACGUUCUCUAGAUGACUUAAACAAAGUCAUCAUCCCAUUCUUUAUGAGAAAUUCUCUAAAGACAUAUAAGCGAAAUGAUUUUGAGAUUUUCUCUAAAAUUGUUGCGAUGAUGUCUCGAAGGAUUCAUCUGAAAGAGAAUGGAAGAAAGAAAAUCGCAAAACUUGUUGAAAAUAUGAAUAGAAAGAAGAAAUCUAGAUUCUUAAAAUCCUCAGAAACCAAACGUCAGGCAGAUGCGAAAGUGUCUGUAAGAUAGAGUUCGAUCUUCAUGGUGACAUGAAGUUAACAGAAUUAGCGAAAUUCCUUGUCCAGUAAGUUUGGACGCGCACGAAUGGUGUAAUGACUGGAGAACUGUCUCGGGAACUUGCUCGGUGAAAAUACAGUACCGGUGAAGAUGCCGGUUUCCUGCAGUUAGACGAAAAGACCCCAGAAGCUUUACUGCAACUUGAUAUUGAGCUUACGAUUAAGAUACGUAGCAUAGGUGGGAGACUUUGAAGUGCACCUCUCGGGGCGCAUGGAGUCGUCAGUGAAAUACCACUUUUCUAGAUUGUAAGUUCUAACCUCGACGGAAAAAACGGCGAGAAACAGUAUCUGGCGGGCAGUUUUAGUGGGGCGCUAUCCUCCUAAAAAGUAACGGAGGAGUCUAAAGGUCAGCUAGGCGCGAAUGGAAACCGUGCCGAUAGUGUAAUGGCACAAGCUGGCUUGACUGCGAGGCGUAAGUGCCAAGCAGAUGCGAAAGCAGAGCAUAGUGAUCCGACGGUCCGUGUUAGAGACGGCCGGAGCUCAUCUGACAAAAGCUACUCUGGGGAUAACAGGCUGGUUGCGCCUAAGCGUCCAUAGCGACGGCGCAGUUCGGCACCUCGAUGUCGGCUCAACUUAUCCCGGAGGUGGAGAAGCUUCCAAGGGUAUGGCUGUUCGCCAUUUAAAAAGUUACGCGAGCUGGGUUCAGACCGUCGUGAGACAGGUUGGACUCCUAUCUACUGCAGGCGUUUGAUUUCAGAGGGGAGUUGACUCUAGUACGAGAGGACCAAGUUGAACCGACCGCUGGUGUGCCGGCUCUACUGCCAAGUGGACCGCCGGGUAGCUAAGUCGGGAACGGAUAAAUUCUGAAAGCAUCUAAGAAUGAAGCCAACCCCAAGAUUAGAAAUCAUUCAGGGCCCUGGGAGAUGACCAGGUUGAUAGGCGCCAGGUGUAAGACGAGUAAUCGUUUGAGCCGAGGCGUACUAAUUGCCCGAUU